AUUGAACGCUGGCGGCAUGCCUUACACAUGCAAGUCGAACGGUAACAGGUCUUCGGAUGCUGACGAGUGGCGCACGGGUGCGUAAUACAUCGGAACGUGCCCGAUCGUGGGGGAUAACGGAGCGAAAGCUUUGCUAAUACCGCAUACGAUCUACGGAUGAAAGCAGGGGACCGCAAGGCCUUGCGCGGACGGAGCGGCCGAUGGCAGAUUAGGUAGUUGGUGGGAUAAAAGCUUACCAAGCCGACGAUCUGUAGCUGGUCUGAGAGGACGACCAGCCACAAUGGGACUGAGACACGGCCCAGACUCCUACGGGAGGCAGCAGUGGGGAAUUUUGGACAAUGGGCGAAAGCCUGAUCCAGCCAUGCCGCGUGCAGGAUGAAGGCCUUCGGGUUGUAAACUGCUUUUGUACGGAACGAAAAGACUCUUUCUAAUAAAGAGGGUCCAUGACGGUACCGUAAGAAUAAGCACCGGCUAACUACGUG
rnacentral:rRNA from 1 species